UACGUAGGGUGCGAGCGUUGCCCCGGAUUCAUUGGGCGUAAAGGGUGCGUAGGUGGCGCCGUAAGUCGGGUGUGAAAUUUCGGAGCUUAACUCCGAAACUGCAUUCGAUACUGCGGUGCUUGAGGACUGGAGAGGAGACUGGAAUUCAUGGUGUAGCAGUGAAAUGCGUAGAGAUCAUGAGGAAGACCAGUGGCGAAGGCGGGUCUCUGGACAGUUCCUGACACUGAGGCACGAAGGCCAGGGGAGCAAACGGG
rnacentral:rRNA from 1 species